GAAGGUGGCCUGUGAGGGUUGCUGGAGGUAUCAGAAGUGCGAAUGCUGACAUAAGUAACGAUAAUGCGGGUGAAAAACCCGCACGCCGGAAGACCAAGGGUUCCUGUCCAACGUUAAUCGGGGCAGGGUGAGUCGACCCCUAAGGCGAGGCCGAAAGGCGUAGUCGAUGGGAAACAGGUUAAUAUUCCUGUACUUGGUGUUACUGCGAAGGGGGGACGGAGAAGGCUAUGUUAGCCGGGCGACGGUUGUCCCGGUUUAAGCAUGUAGGCGGAGGUUCCAGGUAAAUCCGGUACCUUAUUAACGCUGAGGUGUGAUGACGAGGCACUACGGUGCUGAAGUAACAAAUGCCCUGCUUCCAGGAAAAGCCUCUAAGCAUCAGGUAACAUCAAAUCGUACCCCAAACCGACACAGGUGGUCAGGUAGAGAAUACCAAGGCGCUUGAGAGAACUCGGGUGAAGGAACUAGGCAAAAUGGUGCCGUAACUUCGGGAGAAGGCACGCUGACAUGUAGGUGAAGUGAUUUACUCA
rnacentral:rRNA from 3 species